GCAUAUCAAUAAGCGGAGGAAAAGAAACCAACAGGGAUUGCCCUAGUAACGGCGAGUGAAGCGGCAACAGCUCAAAUUUGAAAUCUGGCUCUUUCAGGGUCCGAGUUGUAAUUUGUAGAGGGUGCUUUGGAGUUGACUGUGGUCUAAGUUCCUUGGAACAGGACGUCGCAGAGGGUGAGAAUCCCGUAUGUGGCCGCCAGUCUUCGCCGUGUAAAGCCCCUUCGACGAGUCGAGUUGUUUGGGAAUGCAGCUCUAAAUGGGAGGUAAAUUUCUUCUAAAGCUAAAUAUUGGCCAGAGACCGAUAGCGCACAAGUAGAGUGAUCGAAAGAUGAAAAGCACUUUGGAAAGAGAGUCAAAAAGCACGUGAAAUUGUUGAAAGGGAAGCGCUUGCAGCCAGACUUGCCUGUAGUUGCUCAUCCGGGCUUUUGCCCGGUGCACUCUUCUAUAGGCAGGCCAGCAUCAGUCCUGGCGGUCGGAUAAAUGCCUGCUGAAUGUACCUCUCCUCGGGGAGGACUUAUAGCGGUGGGCGGCAUACGACCAGCCGGGAUUGAGGUCCGCGCAUCUGCUAGGAUGCUGGCGUAAUGGCUGUAAGCGGCCCGUCUUGAAACACGGACCAAGGAGUCUAACAUCUAUGCGAGUGUUUGGGUGUCAAGCCCGAGCGCGUAAUGAAAGUGAACGGAGGUGGGAACCCCUCGGGGCGCACCAUCGACCGAUCCUGAUGUCUUCGGAUGGAUUUGAGUAAGAGCAUAGCUGUUGGGACCCGAAAGAUGGUGAACUAUGCCUGAAUAGGGUGAAGCCAGAGGAAACUCUGGUGGAGGCUCGCAGCGGUUCUGACGUGCAAAUCGAUCGUCAAAUUUGGGCAUAGGGGCGAAAGACUAAUCGAACUAUCUAGUAGCUGGUUCCUGCCGAAGUUUCCCUCAGGAUAGCAGUAACGUUUUCAGUUUUAUGAGGUAAAGCGAAUGAUUAGAGGCCUGGGGGUUGAAACAACCUUCACCUAUUCUCAAACUUUAAAUAUGUAAGAAGUCCUUGUUACUUAAUUGAACGUGGACAUUUGAAUGUACCGUUACUAGUGGGCCAUUUUUG
rnacentral:rRNA from 1 species